rnacentral:rRNA from 1 species
AGUGAACGCUGGCGGUAGGCCUAACACAUGCAAGUCGAACGGCAGCACAGUAAGAGCUUGUUCUUACGGGUGGCGAGUGGCGGACGGGUGAGGAAUACAUCGGAAUCUACUUUUUCGUGGGGGAUAACGUAGGGAAACUUACGCUAAUACCGCAUACGACCUACGGGUGAAAGCAGGGGAUCUUCGGACCUUGCGCGAUUGAAUGAGCCGAUGUCGGAUUAGCUAGUUGGCGGGGUAAAGGCCCACCAAGGCGACGAUCCGUAGCUGGUCUGAGAGGAUGAUCAGCCACACUGGAACUGAGACACGGUCCAGACUCCUACGGGAGGCAGCAGUGGGGAAUAUGGGACAAGGGGCGAAAGCCUGAUCCAGCCAUACCGCGUGGGUGAAGAAGGCCUUCGGGUUGUAAAGCCCUUUUGUUGGGAAAGAAAAGCAGCAGGUUAAUACCCCGCUGUUCUGACGGUACCCAAAGAAUAAGCACCGGCUAACUUCGUG